CGGUGGUGGAGCGGCGGUGUGUCAGUGGCGGCUCUGAGCUCAAGCAAAGGCGGCAGCACUGCUAGGGUUUAGGCGACGGUGGCGGCUGCGACUUUGAAAGAGGAGUCAAGGGGGUCACGGGUGCCUUUUAAAGGAGGAAUUUCGAUAUUUGACACUCAAUCCGAUUGCCUCACUGUUUUUGACAUUCAAUUCGAUCGAUCUUUGAAAUUUGACAUCAAGACCACAAAUUUCUUCAAUCCAGGGGAUUUUCCCCUUUUUCCAUCUUUUCAUUUACUUUUCUUAUUUCUUAAUCUUUAUUUCACAUGAUACUGGACACAUUUGCCCCUAGCCUUAUCUAUCUCUUCUUCCUAUGUCGUGAAGUUGAGCCCAGACUGUUCUCCUCUCCCUCGUGUUCCCUCUCUUGCAAGAACAGGCCACCGGCCCAGCUGCCGCCGCUCCCCAUCCAUCGUAGGAGUUGGAGCCCCCAAACCUUGAUGGCUGAUUUUGGGCACAACGGUGCCGUGAAUUGCCAUGAUCCCCUUUGAGGUUCCUCCCAGGAAGAGCCGUGCCAAACCAGGAAGGCCAUUGGGUUCUGCUUCCAACAAAGCUGAUGCAAGCACCAGUACACCCAAACGGAAGAAAGUUGCAAGGGAUGAUGCUGCACUGAACACUAGUCCUGCAAUGAACACUAGAAGGCAACUGGCCCUAAGCAAGCAAGCUGAAGCAGGGACAAGUCAGGAGGUUAGCACCACACCGAAUAUGGAAGUAGCUACUCCAACAAAAAAAUAAUCUAUCAAAAAGAAGCUGGACUCAAGGAAGGGAAAGAAAUAGAUGCCGUGGUGGAACUUUCUUAGAAUCUUUUGUUGGAACUGUAUGCCUGCUUUUGUUGGAAGUUAGGAAACUAUGAACCUGUAAUCUUAUUUAGCUUAACUACUGGAUGAUGUAUGCGUGCUUUUGAUGGAAGUUAGGAAACUAUGAACCUGUAAUCUUAUUUAGCUCAAUUACUAGAUGACGUAUGAAUUUCUGGACAAAUUUGGUUCCCAAA